AGAGUUUGAUCCUGGCUCAGGAUGAACGCUGGCGGCGUGCCUAAUACAUGCAAGUCGAGCGAACAGAUAAGGAGCUUGCUCCUUUGACGUUAGCGGCGGACGGGUGAGUAACACGUGGGUAACCUACCUAUAAGACUGGAAUAACUCCGGGAAACCGGGGCUAAUGCCGGAUAAUAUUUAGAACCGCAUGGUUCUAAAGUGAAAGAUGGUUUUACUAUCACUUAUAGAUGGACCCGCGCCGUAUUAGCUAGUUGGUGGGGUAAUGGCUUACCAAGGCAACGAUACGUAGCCGACCUGAGAGGGUGAUCGGCCACACUGGAGCUGAGACACGGUCCAGACUCCUACGGGAGGCAGCAGUAGGGAAUCUUCCGCAAUGGGCGAAAGCCUGACGGAGCAACGCCGCGUGAGUGAUGAAGGUCUUCGGAUCGUAAAACUCUGUUAUUAGGGAAGAACAAAUGUGUAAGUAACUGUGCACGUCUUGACGGUACCUAAUCAGAAAGCCACGGCUAACUACGUG
rnacentral:rRNA from 1 species